rnacentral:rRNA from 1 species
AUAUCUAAAGGAGCAAUUCGCUUUGGGAGGGACCUGCGUCCCAUCAGCUAGUUGGUGAGGUAACGGCUCACCAAGGCGACGACGGGUAGGGGACCUGAGAGGGUGACCCCCCACAAUGGAACUGAAACACGGUCCAUACACCUACGGGUGGCAGCAGUAGGGAAUAUUGCUCAAUGGGCGAAAGCCUGAAGCAGCAACGCCGCGUGUGCGAUGAAGGCCUUCGGGUCGUAAAGCACUUUUCUGAGAGAUGAGAAAGGACAGUAUCUCAGGAAUAAGUCUCGGCUAACUACGUGCCAGCAGCCGCGGUAAAACGUAGGAGGCAAGCGUUAUCCGGAUUCACUGGGCGUAAAGCGCGUGCAGGCGGUUCGGUAAGUUGGGCGUGAAAUCUCCUGGCUUAACUAGGAGAGGUCGUUCAAUACUACCGGACUUGAGAGUGGUAGAGGAAGAUGGAAUUCCCGGUGUAGUGGUGAAAUGCGUAGAUAUCGGG